UAAAACAGCCGGGUGGUCAUCAGCAGAGAUUGGGAAGGUCGCUGUGCUGGAUGAAGAUGAAUGGGAUACAAAACACUAUUCCGCCGUCUCUCAAAUACCCAGGUAUUUUUGGUUGAACCAAAACAACGGGACAAUCCUGAUGACCGAGAGACCUCCGCAGGGAAUGUACAACCUCAAUAUUACGGUUUCUGACGGUGUGUGGCCAGAUACCUUCUCUACUAUCAAAAUGUAUGUACAAGAGAUUGGAAGUGACGCCUUCCGCAGCUCGGUGUCUCUGAGACUCACAAGCAUUACAGCAGAGGAAUUCAUAGAGAAGGAUGAGUUUGGAGUCAGCAGACGUGACCAGC